AGCCGGAAGCCAGCUGCACCAAUGUGUCUGAGGAAACACUCAACCUGACAACCGAGGUCAGCGUGCAGAAGCCUGGCCCACCUCAAUUAGUCGCUAGAGCAGGAUGAAACAAGGACAUCCCGGCAGCCAAGCAAAUUACAUUACAUUUUUUAAACAAAGUUGUGUACUUGGUUACCAUGGAUAUGAAUAGUGACAGUGGAGCACAUGGAUGUCAUGGAGGGAGAUUAACAUUUUUAUGCUGGGGAAUUAUUGAAAAAUAAAAGCAGAGGUAACUCUGGGUCUUCCAUUCCUGUAGCGGUCCUCAUGAGAGCCAGUUUCAUCAUAGCACUUGAUGGUUUUUGCAACUGCACUUGAAGAAACCUUGAAAUUUGAAGAAAGUUCUUGACAUUUUCCGUAUUGACUGAAUUUCAUGUGUUAAAGUAUUGAUGGACUAUCGUUUCUCUUUGCUUAUUUGAGCUGUUCUUGCCACAAUACGGACUUGGUCUAUUACCAGAUAGGGCUCUCCCAUCCAUUGACCAAAUGGCAUAUGAUGCUUGAUGGCGCAGUCUAGGAGGAAAUUUGCUCUCUCGUUAAGCAAUUGAGAGCAUUAAGGGCAAAAUCUUGAGUGAGCACAUACCUGUCUCAUGAGUCUGAAUCAAUAGACUGCAGCCAGUGAACAAAGAUUUGUUUGUCAAUCAGUGGAUCCAGCCAUGUAUUUCUGCCUAAUGCAUUAAAGCCCAAAAUUCUUCUAAAAGAUGCUUUAAGUUCUUGAUGCAUGUAGCCUUUGUUUUUUGAGGUUAUUAAUGGUUUGUUCUAUAUAAUCAAUAAAACAUGUACAAUUGUGACAUUAAAAUAUGUAAUUGUAUUUUUUAUCAUGUUUUAUAUGAUAUGUCAUUUCCAGCACACUCUGUCAUUGUCAGAGUCGUGUGUAUAUACACUGUAGGUUUGAGCUAGCUCCUCACUGCAAGCAAAGCUUAGGUGUGUGCGUGUACUGGUUGGUGGCGCUUAUUUGCGUAUAAUAAAACUACCGUCUGUGAGUGUCAUUGAAGGAGAACGAAACGUCUCCUCAAUAAAGUCGUGUGGUGCUUGGUUGGUA